rnacentral:rRNA from 1 species
GAUGAACGCUGGCGGCGUGCCUAAUACAUGCAAGUCGAGCGAACAGAUGAGGAGCUUGCUCCUCUGACGUUAGCGGCGGACGGGUGAGUAACACGUGGAUAACCUACCUAUAAGACUGGGAUAACUUCGGGAAACCGGAGCUAAUACCGGAUAAUAUAUUGAACCGCAUGGUUCAAUAGUGAAAGACGGUUUUGCUGUCACUUAUAGAUGGAUCCGCGCCGCAUUAGCUAGUUGGUAAGGUAACGGCUACCAAGGCAACGAUGCGUAGCCGACCUGAGAGGGUGAUCGGCCACACUGGAACUGAGACACGGUCCAGACUCCUACGGGAGGCAGCAGUAGGGAAUCUUCCGCAAUGGGCGAAAGCCUGACGGAGCAACGCCGCGUGAGUGAUGAAGAUCUUCGGAUCGUAAAACUCUGUUAUUAGGGAAGAACAAAUGUGUAAGUAACUAUGCACGUCUUGACGGUACCUAAUCAGAAAGCCACGGCUAACUACGUG